rnacentral:rRNA from 1 species
UACGUAGGGUGCGAGCGUUGUCCGGAAUUAUUGGGCGUAAAGAGCGUGUAGGCGGCCAGGUAGGUCUGCUGUGAAAACUCGAGGCUCAACCUCGAGACGUCGGCGGAAACCAUCUGGCUAGAGUCCGGAAGAGGAGAGUGGAAUUCCUGGUGUAGCGGUGAAAUGCGCAGAUAUCAGGAAGAACACCCGUGGCGAAGGCGGCUCUCUGGGACGGUACCGACGCUGAGACGCGAAAGCGUGGGGAGCGAACAGG